CAGGUUCCUCUGGCGAAUAGGAUUUUCUAGGGUGCUCCAGCAACCAGGCCCUCGUAUUCCAGGUUCUAAACCGACCAGGUGUCCUUUGGGUCCCACGGCGAAAAAUCAUUGUGCCUCGACAACCAGUGCCCUCUGCAUCAUACAGCAAUCAGGAAAUAGCAUCCCUUGGCGAACAAGCAUCCUCAGGUUCCUCUGGCGAAUAGGAUUUUCUAGGGUCCUCCAGCAACCAGGCCCUCGUAUUUCAGGUUCUAAACCGACCAGGUGUCCUCCGGAUCCCACGGCGAAAAAUCAUUGUGCCUCGAUAACCAGUGCCCUCUGCAUCAUACAGCAAUCAGGAAACAGGGUCCCUCGGCGAACAAGCGCCCUCUGGUUCCUCUGGCGAAUAGGAUUUUCUAGGGUCCUCCAGCAACCAGGCCCUCGUAUUCAAGGUUCUAAACCGACCAGGUGUCCUCUGGGUCCCACGGCGAAAAAUCUUUGUGUCUCGACAACCAGUGUCCUCUGCAUCAUACAGCAAUCAGGAAACAGGGUCCCUCGGCGAACAAGCGUCCUCUGGUGAAUAGGAUUUUCUAGGGUCCUCCAGCAACCAGGCCCUCAUAUUCCAGGUUCUAAACCGACCAGGUGUCCUCUGGGUCCCACGGUGAAAAAUCUUUGUGUCUCGACAACCAGUGUACUCUGCGUCAUACAGCAAUCAGGAAACAGGGUCCCUCGGCAAACAAGCAUCCUUGGGUUCCUCUGGUGCAAAGGCUUUUCCCGGGUCCUCCAGCAACCAGGCCCUCGUAUUCCAGGUUCUAAACCGACCAGGUGUCCUCUGGGUCCCACGGUGAAAAAUCUUUGUGUCUCGACAACCAGUGUACUCUGCGUCAUACAGCAAUCAGGAAACAGGGUCCCUCGGCGAACAAGCAUCCUUGGGUUCCUCUGGUGCAAAGGCUUUUCCCGGGUCCUCCAGCAACCAGGCCCUCGUAUUCCAGGUUCUAAACCGACCAGGUGUCCUCUGGGUCCCACGGCGAAAAAUCUUUGUGACUCGACAACCAGUGCCCUCUGCAUCAUACAGCAAUCAGAAAAUAGCAUCCCUUGGCGAACAAGCAUCCUCAGGUUCCUCUGGCGAAUAGGAUUUUCUAGGGUCCUCCAGCAACCAGGCCCUCGUAUUCCAGGUUCUAAACCGACCAGGUGUCCUUUGGGUCCCACAGCGAAAAAUCAUUGUGCCUCGACAACCAGUGCCCUCUGCAUCAUACAGCAAUCAGGAAAUAGCAUCCCUUGGCGAACAAGCAUCCUCAGGUUCCUCUGGCGAAUAGGAUUUUCUAGGGUCCUCC
rnacentral:lncRNA from 1 species